UACGGGGGGUGCAAGCGUUGUUCGGAAUUACUGGGCGUAAAGGGCUCGUAGGUGGCCAACUAAGUCAGACGUGAAAUCCCUCGGCUUAACCGGGGAACUGCAUCUGAUACUGGAUGGCUUGAGUUUGGGAGAGGGAUGCGGAAUUCCAGGUGUAGCGGUGAAAUGCGUAGAUAUCUGGAGGAACACCGGUGGCGAAGGCGGCAUCCUGGACCAACACUGACACUGAUGAGCGAAAGCCAGGGGAGCAAACGGG
rnacentral:rRNA from 1 species